UAGAAGGAGGACUGGAGCGGGAGUUGUGUAAAAGGGGCUGAAGUCCUGCGUAGCGUACACCACCACCACCUACACCAACACUGCUGCCGCUGCUGCUGUGAAAAGUCGAUUCUCCUCCAGAUUUAUUGAAGCGUUUUUCAUGGGGGGUUGAGAGGAAAAACAAACAGACAUCGACACACCCUGCUGAAGGUCCGGGACUCCGCCGAGCGGUGGGCGAGGCAGCGUGAACUCUGGCGGACCGAUCGGAGGAGGUUUAUCCACGCAGGAGCGACCCGGCCGGUGGGCAAGGAUCACCUAAAGCAGGAAUAAGAAAGAUGGCUCUGUUUGUCACCCCCUCGUCCUCUUAUGGCUGACACACAGCGGUUCUUCACUGGCAAGCUUUAUGUUCUUGUACACAUGCUAAAGCUGCCAGCUGAAGAACUGCUCUGGUCUGCCCUGCCCCAGACGACUCAGGAACAGGAAGCGGACGGAGGGGGGCGGUGGGAAGUUUUCCACAUGCUCAGGAGUCAGACGGGACUUUAAUAAUAUGCAAGAUUCAAGCCACCAUUGUUUGCAUUCCUGUUGAAUCACAUGCAGGUUUUAUUUCAUUUUUGACAUAAAUUACACGCUGACUAGAUCUCUGAGGUGUACUUUACUGGUCUUAAAAUAAAAAAGUGAAAAAUU